rnacentral:rRNA from 1 species
GUAGCAAUACACGGUGGCGACCGGCGCACGGGUGCGUAACGCGUAUGCACCUACCCAUAACAGGGGGAUAACACUGAGAAAUUGGUACUAAUACCCCAUAACCCGGCAUCGGGAAAACUCCGGUGGUUAUGGAUGGGCAUGCGUUGUAUUAGCCGGUUGGUGAGGUAACGGCUCACCAAGGCAACGAUACAUAGGGGGACUGAGAGGUUAACCCCCACAUUGGUACUGAGACACGGACCAAACUCAUACGGGAGGCAGCAGUGAGGAAUAUUGGUCAAUGGACGCAAGUCUGAACCAGCCAUGCCGCGUGCAGGAAGACGGCUUAUGAGUUGUAAACUGCUUUUGUACGAGGGUAACGCUCUUACGUGUAAGAGCCUGAAAGUAUCGUACGAAUAAGGAUCGGCUAACUCCGUGCCAGCAGCCGCGGUAAUACGGAGGAUCCAAGCGUUAUCCGGAUUUAUUGGGUUUAAAGGGUGCGUAGGCGGUUUGAUAAGUUAGAGGUGAAAUACCGGUGCUUAACACCGGAACUGCCUCUAAUACUGUUGAACUAGAGAGUAGUUGCGGUAGGCGGAAUGUAUGGUGUAGCGGUGAAAUGCUUAGAGAUCAUACAGAACACCGAUUGCGAAGGCAGCUUACCAAACUAUAUCUGACGUUGAGGCACGAAAGC